CGGACGGGUGAGUAAUGCUUGGGAAUCUAGCUUAUGGAGGGGGAUAACUACGGGAAACUGUAGCUAAUACCGUGUAAUAUCGAAAGAUUAAAGUGUGGGACCUUCGGGCCACAUGCCAUAGGAUGAGCCCAAGUGGGAUUAGGUAGUUGGUGAGGUAAAGGCUCACCAAGCCGACGAUCUCUAGCUGGUCUGAGAGGAUGACCAGCCACACUGGGACUGAGACACGGCCCAG
rnacentral:rRNA from 1 species